GCCCUUCCUAACAGUUUCAAAGUAAAAUAAUCUAGCAAAAUAAUCGAGUCGGAAUUGGUUAAUCUCGUUAGGUAGGAAGGUGGUCAAUAAUCCAGCCGUGCAGUGUAACGUAGCGGAGAUUAUAGCCGGCCGAUUGACGAGAGCUGAAUAACAAUGGGUUCAGCCGUUUCGGAAAUGAAGGCUGUA